rnacentral:rRNA from 1 species
GAGCGUACGCUGGCGGCAGGCCUAACACAUGCAAGUCGAACGAACCUUUCGGGGUUAGUGGCGGACGGGUGAGUAACACGUGGGAACGUGCCUUUAAGUUCGGAAUAACUCAGGGAAACUUGUGCUAAUACCGAAUGUGCCCUUCGGGGGAAAGAUUUAUCGCCUUUAGAGCGGCCCGCGUCUGAUUAGCUAGUUGGUUGAGGUAAUGGCUCACCAAGGCGACGAUCAGUAGCUGGUCUGAGAGGAUGAUCAGCCACAUUGGGACUGAGACACGGCCCAAACUCCUACGGGAGGCAGCAGUGGGGAAUCUUGCGCAAUGGGCGAAAGCCUGACGCAGCCAUGCCGCGUGAAUGAUGAAGGUCUUAGGAUUGUAAAAUUCUUUCACCGGGGACGAUAAUGACGGUACCCGGAGAAGAAGCCCCGGCUAACUUCGUG